UAUGAAUUGAACCUAAAAGUCUUCAUGCAUUAUAUGUUAUUGACUAUACAUGUUGGGCAAAAGUUGAUUAAAUAUUUUGAUGAGACGGAUUUGUAGAUGUGCCAACUUCAUUAUAUGACAUUCAUUUGAACUUGAACAACAAAUGUCAACAACAUUUCUGGAACAUUUCGGAGCAACGAACCCGCGUUUGUGUUUUCCACUCCUCUGCCAUGCUUGACUUCUUUCUGCACCUCAGCCGCUGCCAUCUAAUGAGAAUCAAUUGCUUUGUUGACUUAUGCGCACUGAGGGUGGGUUCCAAAGACUUCCACCACAAGCUCCCACCCACGAAGGUUUUCGCGGUGAGACUGGAAAAGGUGGCGGUACUGUCUCUGAACAAGCUCAUGUUUGGGAUUCCGAUCCCCCCCCCCCCACUGACGAGGAGCUCAUCGAUUACUACCUCCGCUCGAAGAUCAACGGAAAUGGCGACGAUGUUUGGCUUAUCCUUCAAAUCAAUGUCUGCAAAUGGGAACCUUGGGAUUUGCCUGUUGUGAUUAGGGUAAGCUGCAACGACAAAUGCUAAAGCCGGAUCAGAUGCAGAUGUGGAUGUAGAAGUGUCAAAAUCAGCUAUGCUAGGAGAAUUCAAACAGAGAAAGAAAGAUCUGGAUGUUGAGGAAGAAUCAGUGGGUGACUGGGUGUUAGAAGGACACAAAGUGGCAUGGGCUCCAAGAGAAACCGCUCAGCUUUAGUGCAUAAUUAAUCUGAAAGGAAACGAAGGGACAUAUCAACGAGAGGAUGCUUUCACCACAAGAACUCAUAUCCAAUUGCAAUAAGGUGGAAAGGAAACCUUAGGAGAGAACAUCGAAGGAACCCAAGAAGUGAGAAGCGAACAAAGCUGAAGCUAAGAAAGUGGAAAAUCUUAAGGAGGAGAAAACACCUAAAGAGAAGGAAAAGCUCAGGGUCUGACGAGAAGAAAAAAGAGGUUCAUUUUCAUUUCAAUUAUUUAACCUUACUUUGAAGCGAGUUUCUGUUUGAUUGCUGGAGCCUCCUUAUUUUUAUUCUCUUGAAUGGUCUAAGUGUUGCUUAUAACUAUUUAUAAGAAUCGUGCAAUUUCCUGAAGCUACAAUCUCCACUAGAUUUACUGUCAUUGGUUCUCAAGCCAGUCCAUUGCUUUUCCUUCAUUACUGAGAAACGGGUUUUGUACUUUUUCUUUAUAUUAAUCAGCAUUAAUAUUCAUUUUUCUCAUAUUCUUACACUAAUCUAGAUGGAAAAUCACUUUAACUGUGUCUACUCAAGAACUGUAAUUAAACUGAACUGCUCUUACUGUUGUUCAUCAUCCUGUCUUGCCUUAUAUUAGAGAAGACGACUUGGCUAAGGACCUAAAAUUUCUGUUCUUUGAUGAAGAAAAGUUUAUUACUCAAAAUCAUAGGAGUGAAGUAAAUUAUUUGAUUCUGUCCAUGCAUUAUUUUGCUGUCAUUUUUUGAAUCAGGCAUUAGCUAUCCAAUAGACAUGUUCUGUUGUCUGUUGUGGACUUGUGGCACGUUCAUGACAUGAAAAGGAAACAUCAACCUAACUAUAUCUUAACUUGAGAGUUAAAAGACAAAGAAAAUAAUGUUUCUUUUCUUUUUAUGAUCAUGUCUGACUAAUGAGUACUGCAUUAAGUAAUCAAACUUUAGCUUGCUUCCUUUCAACAGAUUAAUAAUGCCAGAUUUGAAAGGAAGCAAUUUUUGUAAUAGCUUGACAAUCAAGUAAUGAUGUAAUGUAAGACAUUUGGAUUUUUACCUCUGCCAUUUGAUCACAUACCAUUUUAUUCCUUUUGCUAACGUUUGGUAAAACCUGUAAAGAAAUUGUGUGUGUGUGUGUCAGAGAUAGAGAGAGAAAGAGAACUGGGUCACGGUCGAGUUUCCACAGGCUGAAUUUGGGCAUGCUCCUCAGGGUCCAAUGUUCUCUUGAUAUGGGUUUUGAUGGUCAAGCUAAAAGUGGAUGAUGCAGUUGCAUUGUGAGUGAAUCCAUAUCCCAGAUGGAUGAGAUUAAUUUUCUCUUUUAUCAGAUGAGCCCUAUGAUUCAUCAGGUGCUGUUUCUUUAUCACACAUGGGAUUCUACAUGGUGAAAGCUGCACAAGAAGAGAAUUUUAAACAAAUGAAGCAGUCAAAAUCUAGAUUAACCAUUUCUGCUCAUCUUCAAUGUUUAAAGUUUCAAUGUUAUUGGUGUUUUAUUUUCUCUCUGAAAUAGCAUUCACCAUUGCAGAAGAUUCAUAUGCCUUGCUCCUUUAUGCUAUUGAGUAUCUAUUUCUGCUUAUAUUAAGUAUCUAUUUAUGGUUUCCAAUUAAUAUGAAGUUGUAUGUCUGUUGUAUUUAUAAUAUACCCUCUUUGAACAAUGCCUUGCAAAUCCAGUUGGGAGAAAAAUGCAAGAUUGACUGUUAGUGAUUAUGAGUACAUUGAUGUCAACUUUUCAGGAAAACGCUACAUCAUUGUAUGUUCCCUUGCUGCUGAGUUUGUUUAUCACUGUCAUAUUGUUUCCCGGGAUUACUACCAAAGUGAUGGAGUAAUUAUUUUAAUAAUCUAAUCAAGAAUGCUUAGAAAAGGUCAAUGUGGACGCUGGGUGGACACUGGACAGGGGAGACCGCCACGGGUUUUGGCAUUGUUGCUCGAGGGGAUGGUGGAUUAUUUAUGAUGGCAGCGUCAUGGUUGGAGAAUCUGCGCCAGCCACCUAUCCUUGCUGAGGCUUUAGCCUUACGAUGGUGCUUGUCCACAAUGCUAGAGAUGGAGAUGGACAUGGACAACGUUAUAGUGGAAUCAGAUGCUAUAGUCAUAGUCAAUGCCAUGUAUGGAACCUCUUGCCCACCGGAAGUCCAGUCUGCUUAUGGGAUUGUAAGAUCUUGGCUGCUCGAUAUACAGGGUUUUAUUCAGCCAUAAGAAGAUAUGAAGUAGACUUCUUGGACCAGUUGUGCUGCCCAUGUCAGCAGAAAUUCACAUUUUUAGAUCUGCCCUCUCAGAUCCUUCCACCGAUGAGAACACACUUGCUGAAGAUAUUACUGUUUUUUAUUUUAUUUUAUUUAUUUUUUCAGUAAGGUAAAUAAUCACAUGUAAUUUUACUCAUUGUUUGAAUGGGAACAAGGUCAUCGAACUUUCUUAUCUUCC